AGUGCAAGUGAUGAUAAAACAGACAGGGACAUCAGUACUCCUAGUGAGAAUGGUGAUUUGUCAAUGGGAAUCUCUCUGAUGCACU